UGUUCUAUGGCCGAACUGGUAAAGGCAUUGCCGAUCACAGGCAAGGUGCGGGUUCGAGUCCCGCUGGAACGG
rfam:Operophtera brumata OBRT01_Sc02775, whole genome shotgun sequence.